GGCCCGUUAGCUCAGUUGGUUAGAGCGUCGUGCUAAUAACGCGAAGGUCGUGGGUUCGAUCCCACCCACGGGCCA
rnacentral:tRNA from 1 species